GCCCGGCUAGCUCAAUCGGUAGAGCGUGAGACUCUUAAUCUCAAGGUUGGGGGUUCGACCCCCCCGUCGGGCU
rfam:Colletotrichum chlorophyti strain NTL11 CCHL11_scaffold60, whole genome shotgun sequence.